CUAAAUUAUUUUUGCCGUUUUUGUGUUCGCAAUGUUUUUCAUCAGUGAGGAGACCGCGCGGUUCGAAUCGUGCGCUCUGUAGCAGCUAACUGAGGGAAUUACAUGAACAGGUGGGGUAUACUCGUCGAAAAAACUUUCCAAGCGCUGAUGGGGUUUCCGCUGACGGUUUGCGGAUUUUUUACCAGGAAGCGCUGGUCUUAUCAGUUAAUAAUGACUAAUGCCGAAGAGAUGGGACGGUUAUGGUAAUUAGAACUGGGCAUAUACCAUGCAAUUCGUGUACCGUAUUGCACCUUCACGUGACGAGAAUUAAGCGUUUUGAGUAAUACUUACCCGGAUAUUUAAAUAGGACGUCUCGUGGUGGUUUUGUAUGUCGUUAAAAAUUUCCUCAGAGCCACUGUAUACUUUUAUAUACUUGUAAUCGGGGUAACUUUUGUAGACCAUAUUGGAGCGAUUCCACUCACAUUACUUUCAGUCUUCUCAACAUUUUCAAUGUUACGCUAGAUGCAGUUGAAUAAAACUUUCUCCUUUGAAACGCUGUUGCCAGAUACCAUCUCAAAUAAAUAACGCUGGAGCUACGAAAUAACGAAAAUUAUAUUAUCUCUGCCGCAAUUAUUCUAAACGCUGAACAAAUAUAUGGGUAAAUAAUAUAAAUAACUUUGUUUAUUUAGGUGCGUCAUCUCCAUUGAACCUUUCUCGUUUUGUCAAAAAAUGGGAGUAAAAUAUAUUUGUGUCUCGUUUUGUAUUCCGUUGUAAAAUAAUCAGUUAGUAUAAGCUGUAGUUGCUUAUUACUUUGAUCUCUGAGGCGAUUUGGUUGCAUUUUAUGAGCGUUUUAUGUUAAUUUUUAUUUGUUGGUCGCGAAAUGGUAAUGGAUUUGUUCUUCCAUUUAAAAACAUUUCUUUAAAACGCAUAACACUUGGCUUAGUUAUUCCUAACAACGUAGGAGCCAGAAUAUUCAAUAAAGUAGGUAGGUUAACUGGCACAAAAGUAUACUUGAAGAUACUUUUUUUAAAUUAGUUCAUUUUAUGACGUAGUUCAAGGCAAAAUCACGAAAACUGCACAGAAUGGAUUUGUAACUUAGGUAAUAAACCGAAUACUCUUUACUUUUUAGAUUUACUUAAAUAUUUUGGCAGUGGUAUUAAAAAAAAUUAGAGUUGGUUGGGUUUUAGCACUCUAGAUAGAAAAAAACGGGUUUCAAAUGUGGUUUCUUUAUCAAUGGAUGCAGAAAUGACGUCUGACCUUUCCUCUGAUCGUGAAAGUGCCACUAAAAUAAAAAUUCUCAAACGUAGCCAAGGAAAAAAAAUUCAAAAUGUCCUAAAAAUCAAAACGGUUUAAGUAUUUGUGUCUUGAAAUGUUAUUGUUUAGUGUGAAGAGACUACGUUUGUACUUCAUUUAUUUAUAUUUUUAUUGCAAUACGGUGCUUUAUUGUUACACUUUUGACGCAACUGGGACAGUGAAUUAAAACAAUAUUAAUGAGAGAUUUUUUUAUUCAGAUAAACAUGUCACACAGUCAUAAAUUUUGCUGAAACAUCUCAACAUUUUACAAACUUCAGGUAAAAAAAUAUACACUUUAGGUCCUGACGUAAUAAAAUAAUACCUCAUGUACAUAAAAAGGGGACAAUUAUAUAAAGAAAAUUAACUCACAUGAUAGAAAAACCGUAUUUCCAAACUUAUUACAACAUAAAUGAAUAACAAACGUGGCACCCAAUAAGAAUAACGAACAUUUUCUCACUUUUAACGAAUUAAUAAUUAAAUGAUCUGAUGUCCUAUAAGUAAACAUUUUUAACAACAGAAUUACUCUGUUUUCUUAGAUUUGGCUUCCCUGCCAUUAUUGUGAUACUGUCCCUUCCUCUUUCUGCCUUUUCCGAACUUGGCCUUUUCCCUCAUUUUCGUAACCGCUUCUGCAGUCUUCUUCAAAUAUUCCUCCUCUUCAGUCCCUUCCAAGGCCUUAAGUUUCAACUUUAUGUCGCCGAUUUCCAAUUCACCAUCUGUGAGUUUCUUUAAAAAUUCCACAGCGGCAUUUUCCGCCGAACACCUGAAGUGUCCCUCAAGAUCCCCUUUACUGAAGUCUAUAUACGAAAUUGUGACGCUGUCAUCAACCUCUUUGACCUUUUCCUUAAUUUCUUCGCGUGUCAGUGACUUGCCUUCGGGGAUAUUUGAAAAAUAGAUCGUAGCCCCUUUGGGGUACUCAAGCUGCUUGGCCUUUUCAUCAAUUUUCGCUUGCUUUUUAUCCUUUUUAGACUUGACGCGUUCUUCAUACGCUUUCUUCUUUUCGGCAAAGUAAUCACUCUGCCAUUUCCGGAUCAGUUCAGUGUCUUUAUACUUGAGACUUUCAAGCUCAAUAAACUUCUUGCAAGCUUCCUUGUCCUUGAAAAUUAUAAAACACGAUCCCUUGAAGGUAUGGUCUUUAUUGGACCUGCGAUGACACGAUUCGAUGGGGCCAUGCUGCUCCAUAAAGCUCAUUAUGUCGUUCAAAGUCUCGUCCAGAGGGAAACCUUUAGCGUAAGCUGCAACAUAUCCCGAUUAUUCCACCAAACACUGCAAACUGCACCUCUGCCUACCUGUGCGCUCCAUUAGCUCCUUUUUUCGAGCAUCGUUCAACUCUGGCAAGGGCAAAUCCGGAUUUCUCCGUAUUUUUUUCUUGUCUUCACUAACCUCAACCAGGCCAUUUUCGGCCUUUUCCACGGCUGCGGCUAUCACUGCAGGGUCUUCGGAAAGACUGGCAAGGCGCUUGAAAGUCAGUAACACCUCCAGAGAUAUCCAACCCUCGUCUUCUUUCAGCUUUUCUUGCAUGAAUUUAUCACGUGGCAAAUUGAUGU